GAGAAAAGAAGCCUCCUUCACUCUGGCCGAUCUGAAUCUCUUCGAUCUUCACCCAGACUGCCAGGCCUGGGAUAAAGCUGUGUAUCCCAGAGGUCGCCUCUUGUGCAUCUGGAGUCAAACACAGUGAGAGUGCACACCACCAUGAGAAACAACGCAGCAGUCAGAGAUGAAAUGGAAACUCAUGGAUCAGCAAACCAGAGGUUUUGGAACCAAAGACAGCUCCAGAACAUCUGAAGCAGGAAAACACAGUUAAGAUCAAGGUCAGCAACAACACAUGCAAUGGACACAGCUGUUCUCUGAACCACAGUUUGCCUAAGAUAAGAGACUUCCAUGCAACACUGAGCCUGUGAGAAAGACACGCUUUGAUGACACUUAUCUUUCAUCUUGAAAGAAGCCAGACCUGCAGGAAGGGAGACCUGGGAUGUGGGACCCUCUGCUGAUGAACAAACACCCUUUCAGACAGAAGCUGUGGGUACAGCUGACUUCCCACCAGUCUGCAGCUCCUGCGGCAAACAGAAAACCAGCACAUCGCAUCCCGAGCUACAGUGCGCCUCAGGGAAUCACCCUGCACCCUGGCAGUGGCCUGGGGGGGCAGCCCUGUGGUGAAAUCAGAGCUGACAGCAAGUUGAAACUUUUGGCAGAUGUUUCAUUUCCAUAACUAUCUGUGUGCCAUGCUGUUUCUCCUACUGUGAGCCCACAUAGUACCUGCUUGUCUGAUGACUGCAAUGAGAGAGUCUCAAUGAGGUGCCUUCCCUGUCUUCUGUGAUCACCCAUAUAUCACUGCUGGUAAUCACAGCCUCAUAUAUGGCAAGCUCACUUUCUGCUUCUUUAUCCAUAUAAGCAUAGUAGGGGUUUUCUUGCAGC
rnacentral:lncRNA from 1 species